AAAUCAGGUUAGGAACUUACCCCGCUUGAAAACUUUAAGCCAUAUCAAAUAAGCCGGGAAGGAAAAAAGAAAACUUAAACAAGGGAAUUUCCCCCCUAAGUAAACUUGCCGAAGUGAAAAGCCGG
rnacentral:rRNA from 1 species